UACGUAGGGGGCAAGCGUUGUCCGGAUUUAUUGGGCGUAAAGAGCGUGUAGGCGGCCAGGUAGGUCCGUUGUGAAAACUCGAGGCUCAACCUCGAGACGUCGAUGGAAACCAUCUGGCUAGAGUCCGGAAGAGGAGAGUGGAAUUCCUGGUGUAGCGGUGAAAUGCGCAGAUAUCAGGAGGAACACCAAUUGCGAAGGCAGCUCGCUGGGACGUUACUGACGCUGAGACGCGAAAGCGUGGGGAGCAAACAGG
rnacentral:rRNA from 1 species